rnacentral:rRNA from 1 species
UACGUAGGCGGCAAGCGUUGUCCGGAUUUACUGGGCGUAAAGAGCGCGCAGGCGGUCGUUCAAGUCGCGUGUGAAAGCCCCCGGCUCAACUGGGGAGGGUCACGCGAUACUGAUCGACUCGAAGGCAGGAGAGGGUAGUGGAAUUCCCGGUGUAGUGGUGAAAUGCGUAGAUAUCGGGAGGAACACCAGUGGCGAAGGCGACUACCUGGCCUGUUUCUUGACGCUGAGGCGCGAAAGCUAGGGGAGCAAACGGG